GAAAUAUGUAAUUCAAGGGUAAGCUUCUAACUUAACACUUAAGCAGUGAGAUUCUGUUUAUAUUUCU
rnacentral:tRNA from 1 species